CUCUAUCUCAUGCGAAAUUUAAUGUUCUCCCACGUCGUUGUAGAUAAAUGACUUCGAAUAUUAGGUUACAAGAAGAAUGUGGCAGGAAUAUCCUAGCAAGUAUUAGUUACCUAUAUUUCAUCUUCCACUUGCUCAUCAAUAACUUAUGUCAUGCUAAUUUAUUAAGUUCAUUGUGUUUGUUUGGAUCAAUAGAUUAUUUUUAGCAAGAGAUCAAAAUCUUCUGAGGAAAUAUACCCACAAGUGGAUUGGUGACUGAGCAUCAACAUAUUGGUUUCGACGUAGUAUCUUAUAGGAUGACUAUGAUGAUGAUGGGGAACGAUAUAAAACAGUGAGCUGAGUUUUGAAUAAGAAGAAAUGGCGAUAUGUUAAAUGGAGGUAUUGAAGCAACAGUCGAUGAUAAUGGAGUUUACACAAGGUUGAGGAGUUCAGGUGCUUGGAGAGGUACGUAAAUUUGCUGAUGUGGUGGUCGUUUAUUUGUUGUUACAGAACAAGAUCUGAUGCUAAAUUAGUAUCUCCUGUUGCAAGAUCUUAUGAAGUUUGAACGUUUACGAAAAAUAUUGUGUGUAAAUAAGCUCUUAUGGCGCCUUCGGUAAAUUUAAAAAAUAAUAAUUGUGUAAUGAAAUAUG